AUUGAACGCUGGCGGCAGGCUUAACACAUGCAAGUCGAGCGGAGAUGAGGUGCUUGCACCUUAUCUUAGCGGCGGACGGGUGAGUAAUGCUUAGGAAUCUGCCUAUUAGUGGGGGACAACAUUCCGAAAGGGAUGCUAAUACCGCAUACGUCCUACGGGAGAAAGCAGGGGAUCUUCGGACCUUGCGCUAAUAGAUGAGCCUAAGUCGGAUUAGUUAGUUGGUGGGGUAAAGGCCUACCAAGGCGACGAUCUGUAGCGGGUCUGAGAGGAUGAUCCGCCACACUGGGACUGAAACACGGCCCAGACUCCUACGGGAGGCAGCAGUGGGGAAUAUUGGACAAUGGGGGGAACCCUGAUCCAGCCAUGCCGCGUGUGUGAAGAAGGCCUUAUGGUUGUAAAGCACUUUAAGCGAGGAGGAGGCUACUGAGACUAAUACUCUUGGAUAGUGGACGUUACUCGCAGAAUAAGCACCGGCUAACUCUGUGCCAGCCGCCGCGGUAAGAC
rnacentral:rRNA from 1 species